rnacentral:rRNA from 1 species
CACGGGGGGAGCAAGCGUUGUUCGGAAUCACUGGGCGUAAAGGGCGUGUAGGCGGCUCUUCAAGUCAGGCGUGAAAGCCCCGGGCUCAACCUGGGAACCGCGCUUGAGACUGGCAUGCUCGAGUUCGGGAGAGGAUGGUGGAAUUCCCAGUGUAGAGGUGAAAUUCGUAGAUAUUGGGAAGAACACCGAUGGCGAAGGCAGCCAUCUGGACCGACACUGACGCUGAGGCGCGAAAGCGUGGGGAGCAAACAGG